rnacentral:rRNA from 1 species
GAUGAACGCUAGCUACAGGCUUAACACAUGCAAGUCGAGGGGCAGCAUGACGAUAGCUUGCUAUUGUUGAUGGCGACCGGCGCACGGGUGAGUAACGCGUAUCCAACCUGCCCUUGUCCACCGGAUAACCCGUCGAAAGGCGGACUAACACGGUAUGCAGUCCACAGCAGACAUCUAACGUGGACGAAAUGUGAAGGAGAAGGAUGGGGAUGCGUCUGAUUAGCUUGUUGGCGGGGUAACGGCCCACCAAGGCGACGAUCAGUAGGGGUUCUGAGAGGAAGGUCCCCCACAUUGGAACUGAGACACGGUCCAAACUCCUACGGGAGGCAGCAGUGAGGAAUAUUGGUCAAUGGGCGAGAGCCUGAACCAGCCAAGUAGCGUGCAGGAUGACGGCCCUAUGGGUUGUAAACUGCUUUUAUAAGGGAAUAAAGUGAGCCACGUGUGGCUUUUUGCAUGUACCUUAUGAAUAAGGACCGGCUAAUUCCGUGCCAGCCGCCGCGGUAA